rnacentral:rRNA from 1 species
GCUUGCUUGUUGGGGUUGUAGGACACUCUAUACGGAGUUACAAAGGACGACAUUAGACGAAUCAUCUGGAAAGAUGAAUCAAAGAAGGUAAUAAUCCUGUAGUCGAAAAUGUUGUCUCUCUUGAGUGGAUCCUGAGUACGACGGAGCACGUGAAAUUCCGUCGGAAUCUGGGAGGACCAUCUCCUAAGGCUAAAUACUCUCUAGUGACCGAUAGUGAACCAGUACCGUGAGGGAAAGGUGAAAAGCACCCCGGAAGGGGAGUGAAAUAGAACCUGAAACCGUGUGCUUACAAGUAGUCAGAGCCCGUUAAUGGGUGAUGGCGUGCCUUUUGUAGAAUGAACCGGCGAGUUACGAUUUGAUGCAAGGUUAAGCAGUAAAUGUGGAGCCGUAGCGAAAGCGAGUCUGAAUAGGGCGUUUAGUAUUUGGUCGUAGACCCGAAACCAGGUGAUCUACCCUUGGUCAGGUUGAAGUUCAGGUAACACUGAAUGGAGGACCGAACCGACUUACGUUGAAAAGUGAGCGGAUGAACUGAGGGUAGCGGAGAAAUUCCAAUCGAACCUGGAGAUAGCUGGUUCUCUCCGAAAUAGCUUUAGGGCUAGCCUCAAGUGAUGAUUAUUGGAGGUAGAGCACUGUUUGGACGAGGGGCCCCUCUCGGGUUACCGAAUUCAGACAAACUCCGAAUGCCAAUUAAUUUAACUUGGGAGUCAGAACAUGGGUGAUAAGGUCCGUGUUCGAAAGGGAAACAGCCCAGACCACCAGCUAAGGUCCCAAAAUAUAUGUUAAGUGGAAAAGGAUGUGGCGUUGCCCAGACAACUAGGAUGUUGGCUUAGAAGCAGCCAUCAUUUAAAGAGUGCGUAAUAGCUCACUAGUCGAGUGACACUGCGCCGAAAAUGUACCGGGGCUAAACAUAUUACCGAAGCUGUGGAUUGUCCUUUGGACAAUGGUAGGAGAGCGUUCUAAGGGCGUUGAAGCAUGAUCGUAAGGACAUGUGGAGCGCUUAGAAGUGAGAAUGCCGGUGUGAGUAGCGAAAGACGGGUGAGAAUCCCGUCCACCGAUUGAC